CCUACGGGAGGCAGCAGUCGAGAAUCAUUCACAAUGGGGGAAACCCUGAUGGUGCGACGCCGCGUGGGGGAAUGAAGGUCUUCGGAUUGUAAAGCUCUGUCUUCAGGGACGAUAAUGACGGUACCUGAGGAGGAAGCCACGGCUAACUACGUGCCAGCAGCCGCGGUAAUACGUAGGGGGCGAGCGUUGUCCGGAUUUACUGGGCGUAAAGGGAGCGUAGGCGGACUUUUAAGUGAGAUGUGAAAUACUCGGGCUCAACGUGAGUGCUGCAUUUCAAACUGGAAGUCUAGAGUGCAGGAGAGGAGAAUGGAAGUCCUAGUGUAGCGGUGAAAGGCGUAGAGAGUAGGAAGAACACCAGUGGCGAAGGCGAUUCUCUGGACUGUAACUGACGCUGAGGCUCGAAAGCGUGGGGAGCAAACAGGAUUAGAUACCCGUGUAGUC
rnacentral:rRNA from 1 species